rfam:Batrachochytrium dendrobatidis JEL423 supercont1.8 genomic scaffold, whole genome shotgun sequence.
UCCUCGUUAGUCCAGUGGUUAGGAUACCUGUCUCUCACACAGGUGGCCGGGGUUCGAUUCCCCGACGGGGAA